AUUGCUUUUGGCAAUUUGGCUCCAGAAGCUUUGGUCAGAGUCAGACCCGCUAUAAGUUGUCAAAGUAGGCUAUUAGUGAAAAAAGUUCCCAAAACUGCCAGUGACCCGGCCUGUCAUUCGACCCAAUACCACCAAGCCCAAACUAGCGGCAGCGUUGCCACUAUCACCACCACAACACCGCCAGCAGCGCCCUGUGCCCUUAUGAAGUAUAGCUGCACAGUGUCCCAACUCAUGUUUUGAGCCUUAUAAACUGAAUUUCAAGAAUUUUUGUAGUUGUUUUAGAUACUGAAUACUACUACUACAACAAAACAACAACUAGGCCUGAGUCUAAGCCGACUGUUGGCAGCAUAUUUUUUUGUUUUUUGAAGUUGAAGCUAUAACGAUGAUAGGAGCAGCUUGUUCAAGGAGAAGUAUAUAUGCAUUUACUUGUUUAUGUCAGAGAAUUAAGCAGACAGAUAGUGAAAUUGUUAAGAUGUUUGAAAUGUCAAGGCCUAAGGCCGAAACAGAAGGGUUCCAAGAGAAGCAAGCACCCUUAAGAAGGGGCUCUGUAAGGAUAUUAGAUGAGAGGUUCAUCAGGAUUCUGAAGAUAUUUAAGUGGGGUCCUGAUGCUGAAAAGGCCUUGGAGGUGCUAAAGCUGAAAGUAGAUAAUGAAUUGGUUCGAGAGGUUCUUAAAAUAGACAUGGAGAUCAGUGUGAAACUUCAGUUUUUCAAGUGGGCUGGUAAAAGGAGGAACUUUGAACAUGACUCUACUACCUACCUGGCUUUGAUUCGAUGUCUUGAAGAAGCUGGGCUAACAGGUGAAAUGUGGAAGACGGUGCAAGAAAUGGCUCGGAGUACAUGUGUCAUUACUCCUGCGGAUCUCUCUGAGACUGUAAGAAUUUUAGGCAGGGCAAAAAUGGUAAACAAAGCACUAUCAGUAUUUUACCAGAUUAAAGGCCGCAAGUGCAAGCCAACUGCAACCACUUACAAUUCCAUUAUUUUGAUGCUGAUGCAAGAAGGUCAACAUGAAAAAGUACGUGAGCUCUAUACCGAAAUGUGUAAUGAGGGCAAUUGUUUCCCUGAUACAGUUACAUAUAGUGCUCUUAUAUCAUCCUAUGCAAAACUAGGUUGUGAUGAUUCUGCUAUUAGGUUGUUCGAUGAAAUGAAGGACAAUGGUUUAUAUCCCACUGCAAAGAUAUAUACUACCUUGUUGGCGGUUUACUUCAAAUUGGGUAGGGUGGAAACGGCUUUAGCAUUAGUCAAUGAGAUGAAAGAGAAAGGUUGUGCUCCAACUGUGUAUACUUACACUGAAUUGAUAAGAGGGCUUGGUAAAGCUGGUAGACUCGAGGAGGCAUAUUCUGUAUUUCUGUCCAUGCUAAAAGAGGGAUGUAAGCCGGAUGUUGUGUUGAUAAACAAUGUGGUAAACCUUCUAGGAAGGGGAGGACGUAUAGGUGAUGCUCUUAAACUGUUUGAUGAAAUGGAAUCAUUAAACUGUAAACCGAAUGUUGUGACAUAUAAUACUAUUAUAAAAUCCCUGUUUGAAUCCAGAGCUCCAGUAUCCGAGGCUUCAUCUUGGUUUGAAAAAAUGAAAGCAAAUGGUGUUGCUCCAAGCUCUUUUACUUAUUCAAUACUUAUUGAUGGGUAUUGCAAGAAAAAUAGAGUUGAAAAUGCUUUAGCCUUGCUUGAGGAGAUGGAUGAGAAGUGUUUUCCUCCUUGUCCAGCUGCCUAUUGCAGCUUAAUCAAUAGUCUUGGAAAAGCAAAACGCUAUGAAGCUGCAAAUGAGUUGUUUCAAGAACUAAAAGAGAGUUGUGGAUCUAGUAGUUCUCGGGUAUAUGCUGUAAUGAUAAAGCACUUUGGGAAAUGUGGGCGUUUGACUGAGGCUGUCGAUCUUUUCAACGAGAUGCAAAAACUGGGAUGUUCUCCUGAUGUCUAUGCAUACAACGCAGUCAUGUCCGGGCUGGUGAGAGCAGGUAUGCUAGAUGACGCUUUUUCCAUGCUUCGUGCUAUGGAGGAAAAUGGUUGUGCUCCUGACUUAAACUCAUUUAACAUAAUACUAAAUGGUUUGGCCAAGACUAGUGAUCCACAACGGGCGAUUGAGAUGUUUACAAAGAUGAAACAUUCAACAAUUAAACCCGAUGCUGUCUCUUACAACACCAUUCUUGGUUGUCUUAGUCGUGCUGGCAUGUUUGAGGAAGCUGCAAGGCUGAUGAAAGAGAUGCGUGCCAAUGGUUUUGAAUAUGAUCUUAUUACAUACUCAUCAAUACUUGAAGCAGUUGGUAAUAUUAUCGGGGAUGGUACAUAUCAAACUUCCUAAAAGAGCAUUGAUAUGUAAUUGGCUUUAUGGUAAAGGUUUGAACUGGGGUAUGUUCAGUACAAUAUUAGCAUGCAUGCAGAAUCUUUCACCUGUUUUCUCAAAUUGCUGGGCGGAAUUAGGUUUGGCAACAUCCUGUAAAAAGGACGGGGAUGGUGAUCUUUUGGCAGGUGGGACCUGAUUAGUUCCUUUUGUUUCGUGAUUCUCUCUGUGUUAUAUUUCUCUAAUUCUCUCCGUGAAUAUUUGAAACUAGUUAUAGAUUUCCGUUUAGACUAUGUUUAUUCUACCUGUUGGUAGCUUCUUUAUUCUGAGAACUUGCUUUAAGAACUGCGGUUUGGAUUUAAAUUAAGAAUUCCUUAUUAAUCUUCUUCUGGAAGGGAGGGAUGGAGAGAAGGCAGGUUUCACUUGUCCUCUGCAUUCGGUAGUUUUUCACUAGAGAAUUCAAUUACUUUGCGCUCCAGGAUAUUUAACAGCUGCUCUUUCUAUCUUCUUAGAGUGUGCCAAAAGGUAUUUUUAUAUACGGGCUUGGUAUUCCUCAAGAUUCAAUAGAAUAUCCUCUUUUCUUUUUCUAAUAACGGUGGUGUCUGAGCCAGCUUGAGUCCGAUCUUUGCUGCUAAAAAUUGGAGAUUCAGGACUCAGAAAUCACUAUGGAGCAUGGACUAUGGAGCGAGUUUACUGAAGCCAAGUACUGUAAGAGAGCACAGAAUGGCUAAAGUUUGUGAUUAUGGACAAUCAUAUUUGGAGAAGAUUGAUGGAAAUCAAACCAAAGGUGCAGGAGUUCAUUCUAUGGAAACCUAAUGCUGAAACUACAUUGUUUUGGUGGGAUAACUGGUCUGGUCUUGGGGCUAUUACGAAGUUUCUGUUACCUGGGCCAAAAUCUGGUAGAAUUGAAUUCAAUAACUUCAUGGAGGAUGAUAGGUGGCAAGUCGAUGAGCUGAAGGAGAAACUGCCUGCACACAUUUUGAAACAAGUGGUAGCAACUAAAGUUGGGACAGCUUGAUAGCAUGGACCAGGCCAUCUGGAAACCUGCUACAAAAUGGAAUUUUCUCAUGUAGAUCAGCUUAACAAGUCUUGAAAAUCCUUUUCUUCACACAAAGAUACGGCACAAAAAACUUCCAUUCAAAGUGUCAUUUUCUAUGUUGAGCUGCUGAAACAGAAAUUAUCUACAGAUAAUGUUAUAAGGAGAUUUGGGAUAACUGGGACAAGCAGAUCCUUCUGCUGCAGAAAACCCCAGGAAGAUAUCAUAUCUCACUUUUUCUUUUCUAGCUAGCAAGCAAGGAGAGUAUGGCGACAUUUUGGAAAUGUUCUGGUAAUUAGAGAAGCUGCUGACUUGAGGCAAACCCUGAUGACAUGAUGGUUAGUUAAGCCCAAGAAUGAAGUUCAUGCCUUUAUAUUACAAUGCCUUCCAUCUAUUAUAUGCUGUGAACUUUAGAAACAAAGAUGUGCUGCCAAGUAUAGUGGAGUGCAUUGUUCCUUGAAUGAUUUUCCAGAUUCAUUUCUUAGCUGUUAUGCAGUUGAAAUGCCAUUUCAAAAGCCAUGAAUGGACAGGCACAUGGACCAAGAUUUGCACCAGUGUUGAAGGCAUCAGACCUGGAUUGUUGAUUAUUGAAGUGCAGUGGGAAUUAGCGACAAGUGGUAGACUUAAGAUAAAUACUGAUGGUAGUUGUAAUCAACAACAUACCCAAUAUAUUCCCACAAGUGAGGUCUGGGGAGGGUAGUGUGUACGCAGACCUUACCCCUACCUUGUGCAGGUAGAGAUUGUUUCCGAGAGACCCUCGGCUCGGGUAUGCUUCCAAGGCCAUAGGCUGAGUUGAAAUCCUACCCGAUUCAGAUUUUUAUAAGAUGAUACUACUGUCAACCUCCCACUAGUAUAUUUCUGCCAUCCUACGGGGCAUCUCCUUUUCACAUGCUCAUACCAUCUCAGUCUCUCUUCCGCAGCUUAUCUUCCACUGGCCCACCCCCACAUUGUCCCGAAUAACCUCAUUACUGCUCUUGUCUCUCCUAGUAUGCCCACACAUCCAUCUCAAAAUCCUCAUUUUUGAAAUCUGAAGGUGUUGGAGAGAUUGCUAGGGCAAAAAUGGGGAUUUGAGCAUGGCAUUUGCUAAAUCACUCCAGUUCUGCACUAAUAAUUUUGCAGAAUAUGAAGCUGCUUUUUUCGGUCUUUUCUGGUGCUCAAUGCGCAGGGAGUUCGUCAUGUCAUUCUUGAGAUGGACUCUCUCCUAUUUGUGAACAUGCUAACUGGAGUUUCAUCACCUUCCUGGGAGCUUGAGGAGGAUAUUUUGAAGAUGAGAAAAAUCAUACAGCAGCAGCAGCAGAUCACAGUACAACAUUGCUACAGGGAAGGGAAUAUUGUUGUUGAUGCCUUGGCUAAAUUUGGAGGGGAGUAGCCGCCUAUCUUAAAAGCUGAUAUCUUCCUAACGAUACAGGACUUGCUACUGGAAGUAAAGGGUGCUCUCGGGGCUUGACAAAACUCAGAUGCCCAGCUUUAGAGUCAACACCAGGCAGCUUUGUAAUUGUCCAGAUUUGGUCGACCAGUUCGGGGAUAUCCCACUGUCGUUGGCUGCCCUAGUUGUUGGCUCAUCUGGUCUAAAAUUCUCUCAUCAAUUUGCUUACUGCAAAAGCUGUGCAUUAUGCUGUGCAUAUCAGUCCCUUGAAGCCAUGCAGCACUUGGGCAUUGCAAUCCUGAAAUUCAUAUAUAUCUAGGGGACAGCAACCAGUUAAAAGCCAAAGUUAUUCCUAGUUUUUAGAACUAUUGCUGAAGGAGGAAGAAGCUGAGCUUAUCCGUCUUGAGGUUCAACUGUUGAUACAGAUAAUGUAGCGUGGCAGGGUUUAACGUAUAAUGAGCUGACUGAUUGCCAUAAAUCUCUUGGACAUAGGCUUUGUCAACGAGAGUUAUCAUAUGUUGUGUGGGUGUCACCACGGAAUGCUUAAAUGUAACAAUUUUGGGAACCUCUUAAAUUAUGUUUCCAAUUGUAAAGUCAGUCUUGAUAGAAAUGCGAGAGAACACUGAAGGCAAUAUUUUGAUACUGAAAAUACAUGCAAUUCAGGUUACAUAUGUUGAAUGCUGAGUGGGCGUUUGAUUGGAACAAUUGUAUAUAAAACCUCUUACUUUGGAUAUUACAACAAUGUCUGGAUGUUUUUUUAGUA